CAUUUGCCUUAUAAUUGAAGGCUAGUAUGAAUGGUUUGACAAGAAUGUAGCUGUCUCUUUAUAAUUAAACAGAAUUUUAUUUAUAGGUGAAGAAGCCUACAUCAAAUUAAAAGACAAGAAGACCCUAUCGAGCUUGAAAUAAAUUAGUAGGCUAAAUAAUUAAUGAUAUCAGAAAAUUAACUAUUAGAAAUUUUAGUUGGGGCGACUGAGGAACAAAAAAAGCUUCCUUUAAAAAUGAAAAACUAAACAAGUAUUGAUCCAAAACAUUUUGAUUAAAGGAAUUAGUUACCGUAGGGAUAACAGCAUUAUCUUUUUUAAGAGCUCUUAUCGAAAAAAAGGUUUGUGACCUCGAUGUUGGACCAGAAUAUCCUAAAGAUGCAGCAGUCUUUAAGGGUUGGUCUGUUCGACCAUUAAAAUUCU
rnacentral:rRNA from 1 species